UACAGAGGGUGCGAGCGUUGUCCGGAAUCACUGGGCGUAAAGGGCGCGUAGGUGGCGCUCCAAGUCGAUGGUGAAAGCUCGAUGCUCAACAUCGAGUCGGCCACCGAUACUGGAGGGCUUGAGCACUGCAGGGGCAGAUGGAGUUCCGGGUGUAGCGGUGGAAUGCGUAGAGAUCCGGAAGAACACCGGUGGCGAAGGCGGUCUGCUGGGCAGUUGCUGACACUGAGGCGCGACAGCGUGGGGAGCAAACAGG
rnacentral:rRNA from 1 species